GGAAUCUUGCGCAAUGGGCGAAAGCCUGACGCAGCGACGCCGCGUGAGUGAUGAAGGCCUUCGGGUUGUAAAGCCCUGUGGAGGGGGACGAAUAAGGCAUGGCUAACAUCCAUGCCGAUGACGGUACCCCUUUAGCAAGCACCGGCUAACUCGGCGCCAGCAGCCGCGGUAAGACAGAGGGUGCAAACGUUGUUCGGAAUUACUGGGCGUAAAGCGCGUGUAGGCGGCUUGGCAAGUCGGGUGUGAAAGCCCUGGGCUCAACCUAGGAAGUGCACUCGAAACUGCCUCGCUCGAGGAUCGGAGAGGAAAGCGGAAUUCUCGGUGUAGAGGUGAAAUUCGUAGAUAUCGAGAGGAACACCGGUGGCGAAGGCGGCUUUCUGGACGGUUACUGACGCUGAGACGCGAAAGCGUGGGGAGCAAAC
rnacentral:rRNA from 1 species